UAAUUUUUUUCUUAUUCUAAGUAGAGGAGCAGCAAAGAGAUCCACAGAAGAAAAUGGAUAUGAAAUUGCUUGUUUGGUGAUGCUCGUUGGAAUCUAACUAUCGAAAUGGCUCAAGAGGUAAUCUUGUUCAAACCAAAGGAAAUCCUCAGUCGAUCAACUCUUUCUGUACUCCUGAAAAAAAUCCCAAAUUCAUUCUCUCUAAUUAGGUUAUUUUUCUUACUUUGAAUCGGUCAUGUAGAUUGCAGACUGCUAUAAUGUUAAAGCUCACUCCAACGUUUCAUCAUCCUCCUAGUAGUAUAAUCCGGAAACCCCAAAUUCACUUCACUAAUAUUCCCAUGAUAUACAUGAUCACCCACAAAAAAGCCCUUCCUCAUUGCCAAUGUUCCCAAGAUAUGCAUCACCAACAAGCCCUUCUACAUUCAUCCCCCAGAUGUAAAUUCGGUAUUGAAGAAGGAAUUGCCAAAGAACUCUGUUAACCACUGAGAAGAAGCUGCAGUUGCAUAUUUCUCUCAGCUGUUAAAUGGGUGUUUUCAUCUGUGACUGAAUUGGUUUUACCCUGUACAAGUUCAUUCGUUGUAGAGGAUGAUAAGAUAUUGUUGAAGCUCAAUUUCAAGGAGAAUGUGGGGGUUGUUCAGCAUGUGGUUCAUCAUCGUGACGGAUCAAUACAAUUAUUAAAGAAUUUUAAGAUCAGUAUUUAUGACGUAAUCAAUCUCACAGAUCGCUAUGAGGAGAACGAGAAAAUUUGGGGGAUUCAUACAUUAGUGGAUUGCAAGGACGAUGAUUUUGAGAAGAUGAAAGAGGAGAUAAGAGAUAUUCUAAAUGCUCAUGAUGAAAUGAAAUGCAGUUCUGAGUAUAACUUUGUAGGUCUGGAUUCAAUUUAUCCUAUAAAGAUGCUAGUGAAGACUCCUUGCUUCGAGCACUAUAUGGAAGUAAGGAGGAAAGUGCUCUCGGAGAUUCUUGAAAUCUGAUGCAAACAUGGUGGAGGUAAGAAGGAAAAUGAAGUGCUCGCGGAGGUUGAUAAAAUCCAAAGCAAAUGAGAUUUUCGUCCACCGCAGAAGAAACUUUAACAGAAGGCCACUGGGACGGCUGUAGAGUGGGUCAAAAUACCUGGGAUGAAGACGUUUCAUGGGUGCGGAGCUUCUGUAGUCCAACGGCGAAGCAAGUGAAUCUAUUCACAAAACCCUCUGGCAUCAGUCGGAUGCAGUGAGAAGAAGUUGCAGCUCCAUGUUUCUUCUACUUUUGAGCCAAUUCUCUCAGCUUUUAAAUGGGAAGCAGAUUUACGGGGUCGUUCAGUAUGUGGGUCGUGAUCAUGACGGAUAAAUGGAAAUGACUCUGCUAUGUGAUGUGAACUUGAUUUAUUAAAGAAUUUUAAAAUCAGUAGCUCUGAUGUUCUCAAUCAGACCUUACUGGAUGAGGAGGAGAACGAGAAAAUGUAGCGGAUAUAUGCAGUACUAGAGUGCAAGGACGAUGGUUUUGAGAAGAUGGAGGAGGAGAUAAGAGAUAUUCUAAAUGCUCAUGCUGGAUUGAAAUGCAAUUCUAAGUAUAACUUUUUUGUGCGUCAAUUUUUCCUAUAAAGUGCUCUCGGAGAUUGAUGAAAUCCGAUGCAAACAUGGUGGGAGUAAACAUGAAAGUGAACUAGUGAAGUGCUCGCGGAUAUUAUGAAAUCCAAUGCAAAUGAGAAGAAACUUUAACAGAGUUUUUAUCGAAGGCCACUGGGACGGCUGUAGAGUGGGUCAAAAUGCGUAGGAUGAAGCCUGGUCUGGACUCCAUUGGAAUCGUUGCUAUUUCACACGGCUGUACUGGAGUGGCAGCACGAGCCCGCGGCCUGGUGGAUCUAGAACCUGCAAGGGUCUCAGAAAUCCUCAAAGAUCGGCCUUCGUGGUUUCGUGAAUGCCGAGCUGUGGAUGUUGUGAAUGUCCUGCCCACUCCAAGCAGUAUAUGUGUCAUACUCGUAUGAUGCAUAUACUUAUAGGACACUAAUAUUGACUUGCCUAAUGGAUUCUUGAAUGUUCGACAACUUCUCUAGCUGUAUGCCCCAACAACAUCGCUGAUGAUGCACCUCUCUGAACUUCCGGUGUGAGCAUUAUUCCUCUCGAUUCUGGAUUGGAUUCUUCCAGUCCUAAUCGCACACUUGACCUUGCUUCUGCUCUUGAGGUUCGGCAGCCUAGAGACAGAACUUCGGGUGAAUAUGCUGGUAAUGGUUGCAGCUUGAGAUCAGUGAUGACAAUAGCAUUUCAAUUUGCGUUUGAGAGCCACCUCCAAGAAAAUGUAGCAUCAAUUGCAGGCAAUAUGUGCAGAGCAUUGUAUCAUCCGUUCAGAGAGUAGCAUUGGUUCUCUCCCCCUCUAAUCUUAGUCCUCACUUCGGUCAGAGGCAACCACCAGGAUCUCAUGAAGCACAAACACUAGCUCACUGGAUCUUUAACAGUUACAGACGUUUCAUGGGUGCGGAGCUUCGACGGUGAAGCAAGUGAAUCUAUUCUCAAAACACUCUGGCAUCAGUCGGAAAAUAGGAGUAAAAACUCAAAUUUUGUUCUCUAAAAAUUUACUAUGUUUGUUUGAUCACUUUUCCUUUCUUUCAAUUUUUGCUUCUGUGAAGUAUUCAUAAGCCCAGCCCAUUAUUCUUCUUGAAUUGACAGACAAUAUCACAAGUGAAAACCACAUGGAGACCCAUUUUUCAGUUUUUCUCCACUGUGAAACCCACGCCCAGAAAUUUGAAGGCGCGCACCCAUUUUUUAGGAAAAAAUUAUUCUCAAACCAAUAGUUUAUAAAAUUCUGUUUCGUUCUUUUUUCUUCUUUUUCAAUUCCUUUUCUUUUCUCUCAAAUCUACUGUGAAUUAUCGAUGAGUAAAAUUAUCCAUCGGAAAAACCCUAGAAAUUAAAUCAGUCAAGAGAAGAAUGGCGGCACCUAAAGCCCAUAAAAGGGGAGAGAUUCAUGGGGUUGUGAGAAUUGAUUUCAGAUUUAAGAUUGAGAAGAACAGACGGCUGCUGAGAUGGAUUGUCGAUGAAUCUGAAGGAAGCAAGAAAUUAUAUGUAAAGGUAUAGUUUGAUUUUGGCAACUGGUAGUCACCAUUUUUUUUAGCUGUGUUGGAGUUUUCCAUUUUUGUG